rnacentral:misc_RNA from 1 species
GAUGGAAGAACGUAGCGAAAUGCGAUAAGUAGUGUGAAUUGCAGAAUUCCGUGAAUCAUCGAAUCUUUGAACGCACAUUGCGCCUUCUGGUAUUCCGGAAGGCAUGCCUGUUCGAGAGUCAUUAACAACCGUUUCGAUCCCUUUCUUUCAGAAAUUACAAAGAGGAAAAGGGUUUGGUUAUGGUGGAGGAGGGAAAGGGAGCGUUUAGCCUGUAAAAAAAGAGGCUGUGUUCCGCCUCCCCCCCAAAAUUGUACAGGCGGUCGUGUGCGCCCACGCAUCGAGGUGUUGUAAAAGCUGCCACGGCACUUUUCACCUGUGCAGUGCGAGAUUGGCCAGCCGGUUUAAAAACCCCUCCAAACAAUCAAAGGUUGACCUCGGAUCAGGUAGGGAUACCCGCUGAACUUAAGCAUAUCAAUAAGCGGAGGA